rnacentral:rRNA from 1 species
UAAAGACCCCUUGGAGACUACAAGGUUGAUAGGCCGGGUGUGUAAGUGCAGUAAUGCAUGGAGCUUACCGGUACUAAUCGGUCGUGAGGCUUAGCCACAA